CCCAAUGAAAUUCUGCGCUAUCAUUUUAAAUUAUACUGCGCUGUAUCCUCCUAGUAAAAUUCUGCACUGUCACUUUAAAUUUGCCAGUUCCCUUGCGCUGUGCAAAUACCGGGAUACUAUAAGUUCAGUAGUGACGUGGCUUUCGUUCUUGGGAGACCUGUCAAAGCACUGACAGAUUGCAAGUACGAGGGAGCUGGGCUGUGUACCGCUGCUGCAGAUCGGCGUUCAUCAUCUGAAGCCGGGAUUUAAAUCUGCACAGUUGAACAAAAAGUGAACUGGCCAGGUCGCAAGACUGGUCGUCUUGCAGACCAAUUUACUGGAUGCUCAACCUGAGCACUGGACAGUUAAAACACUGACUUGGAUUCUGCCCUCUUCACUGCCAGUGCGGUAGGAACUAACCCCCUUCUCAUCCAACAAAUCAGCUGGGGUGUUUCUUUUCUUUUCGUUUUUCCAAAAGAGAACUAUAAAAACUCUUUCAUAAGGCCUAACGGACGCCUUAAGAACUAUAAAGACAAACAACAGAAAACAGCCUCUGGACUAAAAAAAAUCCUUUGUUGUAUAUAUUGUGAUUUUUGUAUUCACUGUAUAUUGUAAAUACAUUUACAUUAGCAACUCAA